GCAUAUGCAUGAUAAAAAUAUCAUCAAAGCUGUAAUACAACAGCAGCAGGAAGAGGAAGAAGAAAAGAGUAGAAAAUUUAUCAAAGCAAAAAAGCGUCUUGAACAAAUUAGGAAAGAAAAAGAAGCUGAAACACAUAGGUAGGAUUUUGAAAUAAUUUGUAUAAUCUAUAAAGUGCUGUAUGCAACUGUCUCACAAUAAAUUUGAAGUUAUAAUGUGAAAGUAGUCUUUAGAAAUAAAAGUCUCAUUUUAUAUAUGACUAGGGCAUUUAGUGACAUGAGGUACCCUUGGAAUUAUUCAGGGACAUCUUUCUGAUAGAUGGUUGAAAAUACUGGUCUGAGGGGGCAGGGGAUGAGCUGGAGCUGGCUCUGUAUCUCUGGGAUUACAGGCAUGCCACCUCACUAGCUGACUCACAGUUUUAGAGUUUUCAGUCCAUGGUUGGUUGGCCCUGUUGUUUUUGAGCCUAUGAUGAGUCAAUGUGCUGAUACAUAGAAUAGUGUGUGGUACAUAGCAAGCAAUCAAUAAUAAAAGUACUUAAAAUAUUAUUUUGAAAUCCUAACUGAAACAUCUCCCUUUCACAAAGGCUUCCUUUUAUCUCCUGUCUGUAUUGCUUUCUAGCAUUCUCAGGGCAUGUAUCACCCUUUGCCUGUGUAGUUAUUUGCAUAAAUGUCUUUACUUUAUACUUUCUUUGGGACAUAUGCUGUGCUCUUUUCAUUAUUUAUCACACAUUACUUUGCACAUUCUCUCAAUAACAGUAAAUUUGUCACAACUGAUUUUUGCCCAGUUAUUUUUCCCUCUGUUCCUUUAACAAAAUAUGUCUAUUGUUUAUGAAUUACUAGACACAUAUGUGGUCUUGGACUAAAGAGAGAAUUCUUCCAGUCUCUGGCCUCAGGAAUAUCAUAGUUAUAUAAAGGGAGAGAAACAUAUAAGCACAUCAAGUCAAUGAAGUGCUAUCAGUAAAUUCCAGACAUAGUAUAGUGAGAGGAUGGAUUUAUUCAGAUUUUGAUAGGCUUUAUUUGUUAUUUCCUAGGUCUUAUUUUUAAAAAUACCUUUUAUAGCCUUCAAUGUUAGAGUAAGCAGGGAAGUCUAAUCAACUAUUUAAAAAUAUUUUCCAGGGGCUGGGGUUGUGGCUCAGCGGUAGAGCGCUCGCCUCGCACGUGCGAGACCCUGGGUUCGAUCCUCAGCACCACAUACAAAAAUAAACAAGUGAAAUAAAGGUGUUGUGUCCAACUACAACUAAAAAAUAAAUAUAAGUGAAAGAAUUUCCAAUGUGGCAAGUUUUUUAACACCCCCUUUUUUUCUACAUAUACACAGGCAUACAUACAACCAUAUUAUACAUAUUACCAUCUUUGGAUUUUUAGAAUGUUACUUUAUAAUUAUAAAAAUUAAUUUCGGGGUUGGGGUUAUGGCUCAGAGGUAGAGCGCUUGCCUAGCAUGUGUUAGCCACUGGGUUCAAAUAAAAAAAAUAAUUUCUACUUGAAAUGAUCAAUGUAUAAAGGGAGCAAUGGGUCUCCUCUUAAGUUUUAUAGAAGACUAAAAUAUUUCAGACUCAUUAAAUUACAUUGGCUUCAUUACAAAUAUUCAUAAAGAUUUGAAAAAUAUGUUUUUUAUAGGUUGUUGGAGGAACAAAGAGAACGAAUAAAUAACUCCCUGAGUAAACUAAUUAAAGAGAAACUUGACAAUGAAGAUUUGAUUAUUUCUAGAGAUACUGCAGAAAUUGAUGCUGAAUGGGAGAAAAGAGAAAGAGAAAGAAAUGAAAAAAACCAAGCGGACUUAAAAGCGAUUGCUGAACAUAGAGCCCUUGUGGUAAACAAUUAAAUUAGGACUAAUAAAAGUAGAUACAUUAAGACUUUUCCACUGUGUGGUUUCCAUUCCCUUUGCUUCUCUGAUCUCAAACUAGCAGAGAUGUGAAACACAGUGUAUAAGUUAUCUUUCUAUGUUCUUGAAUUCAGUGUUUGCUUUCUAACAAUGACAUAAUUAUAAAUAAGACAUUUAUAGAUACAAAGUAAUAAACUGUUCAGAACCAUCUUAACAUGCAAAGAUUAUUAUUUAUUUAACAUACAGAAGUAUGAAAACAUUUAGAUGCUUUUAAGAAAAAAUGAGUAAAAAUUACCCAGUUACAUUUGCAUAUUUCUUUUAAAGAAAAGUGACCACAUGGGAGUCAGUCCAGGUGCAUCCAACUUUGUGCUGCUGCAUGGCUCCCAGCUUUCUACUUGGAACUUUCUAAUUCCAUCCCUUUUCAGACAGGACUCCUUGCUAAAAUAGUUUUUUUUCUUUUACCUUUAAACAUUUAGAUGAAGAAUAAAGAGGAAGAAGAAAGACAAAGGAAAAUAGAAUCUAAAAAACAAUUGCUGGCUUUUAUGAAAGCAGAUCAGAUUUUUCGUGAGCAUGAAAAGGAGAAAAAGCGCAAAGUUGAUAAAGAAUGCAGAGAAGUUCAAGAUGCUAACAUUCAACAAAUAGUAAUGAUUCCUAAAUGUUUCCAUUUAUUUUAGCAAUAAAUAUGUAAUACAGAAUUCAUGCUGGCUUUCUAUUGCUCAAGUAAUUUCUUUUGUUGGGUAAGAACAAAUCGUCAUUAUGGUUAUGACACUAUAAGCUGUAUAAAGAAAUAUGAGGUUUGUUUCUGUUUUUAUCUGCACUGGCAUUCCUACAAGAGAUUUUUCUUUUACACAUAUCUUCAUCCUUCUUUAGUGUAUUUUGUACUUUAGUAAAUAUUAAAGAAGAUACAAAUGCAUGUGACAGGCUAUACUGCUAAUCUUUGGUUUACUUUUUUCCCUUCUUGACUAUUCCAGAGACCAUGUUGAUUGGGAUCUCGUGGGUUUCAGUUUUGAGGUGAGGGGGUGAUAUAGAGAUUUUAAAAGACAGAUAGAGGAUCUGGCAUCAAAUCAUUUGUGACCAAAACCUGCUUUCCAAAGUGGUAAUACCAUUUUCCUUUCUUACCAGCAAUGUAUAGAAGCACAAGCUGCUUUACAAACUCACCUUUGUCACCCUGUGUUUUGUUCAUUGCCCUAAUAUCGUGCUAACUUAUGGUUUUACUUUGCAUUUCCCUAAUGACUGAAGAGAGUGAGCAUCUUUUCAUAUCCUUAUUAGACAUUCAUGUGACUUCUUUUGUGUAAUGUAUAUUCAAACCUGUUCUCAAUUAUUUAAUUGAGAUAGUUCCUUAUUGUUGAGUUUAAAAAUUUUUUAUUGGGUUCAAAUAUUCAUAACAUAAUACUUACCAUUUUAACCAUUUUUAGGGGUGUAAUUUAGGGGCAUUAAGUACGUUCACUUUGACCAUCAUCACUAUCUCUAGAGCUAUUUUUUUUUUCAAACCAUGCCAAAACUUGAUUUACAUUUAUUAAUUUUAUGAGGCAUAAUAAUUUCUAAUGAUACAAGAAACUGAAAAUAUUCAACACUGCCAUGGAAUUAAAGAAUAUUCUAGUUGUGACAGCAACUGACUUAAUGAGUCAAUUCUAGCAAUAAUUGAGUUUCUGUGCUUUAUUUUUAUUUUUAUAGUUUAUUUAUUUGUUCUAUUCAGUUAUACAUGACAGGAGAAUGUUCUUCAGUUCAUUAUACACAAAUGGAGCACAUUUUGACUUUUCUGGUUGUACCCAAAGUAGGGUCACACCAUUCAUGCAAUCAUACAUGUACCUAGGGUAAUGAUGUCUGUUUCAUUUCACCAUAUUUCCUACCCCCAUAACCCCUUCCUUCCCUCCCCUUUGCCCCAUCUAAAGUUCCUUCACUCAUCCCAUACCCACCCCCAUUAUGAAUUAGCAUCCACUUAUCAGAGAAAACAUUUGGCCUUUGGUUUUUGGGAAGUGGCUUCACUUAGCAUGAUAUUCUCCAACUCCAUCCAUUUUCCUGCAAAUGCCAUAAUUUUACUCUCUUUUAUUGCUGAGUAAUACUCCAUUGUGUAUAUAUAGCAUAGUUUCUUUAUCCAUUCAUCUAUUGAAGGGCAUCUAGGUUGGUUCCACAGGUUGGCUAUUGUGAAUUAUGCUGCUAUGAACAUUGAUGUGGCUGUAUUACUGUAGUAUGCUGCUUUUAAGUCCUUUGGAUAUAGACCAAGGAGUGGGAUAGCUGGGUCAAAUGGUGGUUCCAUUCCAAGUUUUCUAAGGGAUCUCCAUAUUGCUUUCCAGAUUGGCUGCACCAAUUUACAGUCCUACCAGCAAUGUAUGAGUUUGCCUCUUCCCCUACAUCCUUGCCAACACUUAUUAUUGUUUGUAUUUUUGAUAACUGCAAUUCUGACUGGAGUGAGAUGAAAUCUUAGAGUAGUUUUGGUUUGCAUUUCUCUAAUUAUAAGAGAUGUUGAACAUUUUUUCAUAUAUUUGUUGAUCAUAUGUAUUUCGUCUUCUGAGAAGUGUCUGUUCAGCUCCUUAGCCCAUUUAUUGAUUGGGUUGUUUGAUUUUUUGGUGUUAAGUUUUUUGAGUCUUUAUAUAUCCUGGAGAUUAAUGUGCUAUCUGAUGUGUUUGUGGCAAAAAUUUGCUCCCCAAAUGUAGGCUCUCUGUUCAGCUCAUUGAUUGUUUCUUUUGUUGAAAAGAAGCUUUUUAGUAUGAAUCCAUUCCAUUUUUUGAUUCUUGAUUUUAAUUUUUGCACUUUAGGAGUCUUGAAGAUUUGGGCCUACUUUUUCUCCUAUUAGGUCUCUGGUCUAAUUCCUAGGUUCAUAAUCCACUUUGAGUUGAUUUUUCUGUAUGGUGAGAAAUAGGGGUUUAGCUUCAUUUUGCUGCAUAUGGAUUUCCAGUUUUCCUAGCACCAUUUAUUGAAGAGGCUAUCUUUUCUCCAAUGCAUAUUUGUGGCACCUUUGUCUAGUAUGAGAUAACUUUGUUUAUAUGGGCUUGUCUCUGCAUCUUCUAUUCUGUACCAUUGGUUACAUGUCUAUUUUGGUGCCAAUACCAUGCCAUUUUUGUUACUAUAGCUUUGUAGUACAGUUUAAGGUCUGAUACUGUAAUGCCUCCUGCUUCACUCUUCUUGCUAAGUAUUGCUUUGGCUAUUCUGGGUCUCUUAUUUUUCCAAGUGAAUUUCAUGAUUGCUUUUUCUAUAUCUAGAAAAAUGAGAAAUUAUACCCCAUUUGAUUCAAAUGUAUGAAUUGUCAAGAUCAUUGUACUGUCAUGUGUAACUAAUUAAAAAAAAGAAUGACAUGGGGAUAUUAAUUGGAAUUGUAUUGAAUCUGUAUAGUGCUUUGGAUAGUAUGGCCGUUUUGACGAUAUUAAUUUUGCCUAUCCAGGAGCAUGGGAGAUCUUUCCAUCUUCUAAGGUCUUCUUGAAUUUCUUUCUUUGGUGUUCUAUAAUUUUCAUUGUAGAGAUCUUUCACCUCUUUUGCUAAAUUGAUUACCAAGUAUUUUAGUUUUUUUUUUUUUUUAGGCUAUUGUGAAUGGGGUAGUUUUCCUAAUUUAUUUUUCAGAGGAUUCAUCACUGAUGUAUAGAAAUGCAUUUGAUUUGUGGGUAUUGAUUUUAUGUCCUGAUACUUUGCUGAAUCCAUUAAUUAAUUCUAGAAGUUUUCUGAUGGAGUUUUUUGGAUCCUCUAAGUAUAGAAUCAUAUCAUCAGCAAAUAAUGAUAGUUUGAAUUCUUCUUUUCCUAUUUGUAUCCAUUUAAUUUAUCUGUCGAAUUGCUCUGACUAGAGUUUCAAGGACUAUGUUGAAUAGAAGUGGUGAAAGAGGGUAUCCCUGUCUUGUUCUGGUUUUUAGUGGGAAUGCAUCUAUUUUUUCUCGAUUUAGAAUGGUGUUGGCCUAGGGUUUAGCAUAGAUAGCUUUUACAAUGUUGAGGUGUAUUCCUACUUUAUCUAGUUUUUCUAGUGUUUUGAACAUGAAAGGGUGCUGUAUUUUGUCAAAUGCUUUCUUUGCAUCCAUUGAUAUAAUCAUAUGAUUCUUUUUUUAAAAAAUAUUUUCUUAGUUGUCAAUGGACUUUAUUUAUUUAUAUGCAGUGCUGAGAAUCGAACCCACUGCCUCACACAUGCUAGGGAAGUGCUCUACCACUGACCUACAUCCCUAGCCCAUGAUUCUUAUCUUUAAGCCUAUUGAUAUGAUGAAUUAAUUAUGUUUAUUGAUUUCCAUAUGUUGAACCAACCUUGCAUCCCUGGAAGGAUCCCCACUUGAUCAUGGUACACAAUUUUUUAAUAUGUUUUUAUAUGCAAUUUGCCAUAAUUUUAUUGAGAAUUAUUGCAUCUAUGUUUAUCAGGGAUAUUGGUCUUAAAUUUUCUUUACUUGAUGUGUCCUUGUCUGGUUUUUGGUAUUGGGAUGAUAGUAGCCACAUAGAAUGAGUUUGGAAGAGUUCCUUCCUUUUCUAUUUCAUGGAAUAAUUUGAGGAGUAUUGGUAUUAAUUCUUCAUUGUAGGUUUUGUAGAACUCAACUAUGAAUCUGUCUGGUCCCAGGCUUUUCUUGGUUAGUAGGCUUUUGAUGAUGUUUUCUACUUCCUUGCUUGAAAUUGAUCUGUUUAAAUUGUGUAUGUCCUCCUCGUGCAGUUUGGGUAGAUCAUAUGUCUCUAGAAAUUUGUCAGUGUCUUUGAAGUUUUCUAUUUUACUGGAGUAUAAAUUUUCAAAAUAGUUUCUAAUUGUCUUCUGUAUUUCAAUAGUGUUUGUCAUGAUUUCCUUUUUCAUCAUGAAUUUUAGUAAUUUGAGUUUUCUUUCUCCUUCUUUUUGUUAAGAUGGCUAAGGGUUUGUCAAUUUUAUUUAUUUUUUCAAAGAACUAGCUGCUUGUUUUGUCAAUUUUUAAAAUUGUUUCUUUUGUUUCAAUGUCACUAAUUUCAGCCCUGAUUUUUUUAAAAAUAUUUUUUAGUUGUUAAUGAACCUUUAUUUUAUUUAUUUAUAAGUGGUGUUUAUAAAUAAGCACACAUGCUAGGCAAGUGCUCUACCACUGAACCAUUACUCCAUACCCUUCAGCCCUGAUUUUAAUUAUUUCCUGUCUUCUGCUUUUGGUGUUGGUUUGUUCUUCUUUUCCUAGGGCUUUGAGAUAUAAUGUCAAGUUGUUUAUUUGUUGACUUUCUUCUUUUAAUGAAUGAGCUUAAAUGCAAUGAACUUUUCCUCUUGGCACUGCCUUCAUAGUAUUGCAGAGAUUUUGAUGUGUUGUAUUGGAGUCCUCAUGUAUCUCUAAGAAUUUUUUAAUCUUCUCCCUAAUGUCUUCUGUUAUCCAUGCAUCAUUUAGUAACAUAUUAUUUAGUCUCCAGGUAUUGGAGUAGCUUCUAUUUUUUUAUUUUAUCCCUGACAUCUAAUUUCAUUCUGUUAUGAUCAGAUAGAAUGCAGGGUAGUAUCCUUUUUUUUUUUUUUUCUGGUAAUGCUGGGAAUUGAACCCAGGGCCUUGGGCAUGCGAGGCAAACACUCUACCAACUGAGCUGUAUCCCCAGCUCAGUAUCUCUAUUUUUUUUUUUGUAUUUGCUAAGACUUGCUUUGUGGCAUAACAUAUAGUCUAUUUUGGAGAAGGACCCAUGUGCUGCUGAGAAAAAAGUGUAUUCGCUGGUUGAUGGAUGGAAUAUUCUGUAUAUGUCUGUUAAGUUUAAUUAUUGAUUGUUUUAUUGAGUUCUAUAGUUUCUUCAUUUAGUUUUUGGAAGAUCUAUCCAGUGGUGAGAGAGGUGUGUUAAAGUCAGCCAGUAUUAUUGUGCUGCGGUCCAUUUGAUUCUUUAAGUUGAGAAGGGUUUGUUUGGUAUACAUAGAUGCCCCAUUGUUUGGGGCAUAGAUAUUUACAAUUGUUAUGUCUUGUUGAUGUAUGAUUCCCUUGAGUAGUAUGAAAUGUCCUUCUUUAUCCCUUUUCACUAACUUUGGUUUGAAGUCCACUUUAUCUAUACGAGGAUGGAAACCCCUGCUUGUUUACAAGGUCCAUGUGAGUGAUAAGUUUUUUUCCCAUCCUUUCAUUUUCAGUCUGUAGAUGUUUUCCUGUGUGAUGAGUCUCUUGAAGGCAGCAUAUUGUUGAGUCUUUUUAAAAAAUCCUGUCUGUCUUUAAUUGAUAAGUUUAGGCCAUCCACAUUCAGGGCUAUUAUUGAAAUAUGUUUGUAUUCCCAGCCAUUUUGGUUAUUUUUGGUUCUUAACUUGACUUGGUUUCUCGUUGAUUGGCCUUUCCUUUAGUGUAGUUCCUCCAUUUGUAGAUCUUCAUUGUUGUUUUUCAUUUCCUCCUCAUGAAAUAGUUUGCCAAGAAUGUUCUGUUAUGCAGGCUUUCUUGCUGUAAAUUUUUUAAACUUUUGUUUAUCAUGGAAGGUUUUUGUCAUCAAAUCUGAAGUUUAAUUUUGCUGGAUAUGAUUCUUGUUGGCAUCCAUUUUCUUUCAAAGCUCUGUAUAUAUUAUUCCAGGAUCCCCAGGCCCUGAGAGUCUGGGCUGAAAAAUCUGCUGAGAUCUCAAUAGUCUCCCCAUAUAUGUAAUCUGAUUCUUCUCUCUUACAGCUUUUACAAUUCUGUCCUUAUUCUGUAUGUUGUCAUUUUCAUUAUAAUGUGCUUUGGUGUAGAUCUGUUGUAGUUUUGUACAUUUGGUGUCCUGUAAGCUUUUAGUAUUUGACUUUCCAAUUCAUUCUUCCUGUUUGCGAAAUUUUCUGUUAUUAUCUCAUUGAAGAGAUUGUGCAUUCCUUUAGUUUGAAAUUCUGUACCUUCCUCUAUCCCGAUAAAUCUUAGACUUGGUCUUUUAAUGUUAUCUUUUUUCUUUUAAAAAUUUUUUGUACUUGUGUAUGGAAAGCAUGCCUUUAUUUUAUUUAUAUGUGGUGCUGAGGAUUGAACUCAGUGCCUCACACAUGCUGGGCGAGCUCUGUUACUGAGCUGCAGCCCCAGCCCUGAUGUUAUCUUUGGAUGUUCUGUUCAUGGUUUCUUACCAUCUUCAUUGCGUGGUCAACUUUAUUUUCCAGAUCAUAUACUUUGUCUUCAUUGUCUAGGGUUCUGUCUUCCAAGAGACCUAGUCUGUUGGUAAUGCUUUCUAUUGAGUUUUUUAUUUGGCUUAUUAUUUCCUUCAUUUCAAGAAUUUCUGUUUUGUUUUGUUUUUUUCAUAAUCUCUUUUUCUUGAAGCAAUCUUUAGCUACCUGUGCUUGAUCUCUUUGAUCAAUUUUUGCCUGUAUUUGCUCAGUUAGGUCACUCUUUAAUUCUCAGAUCAUUUUAAUUAUGUACAUUCUGAACCCCUCUGUCAUUCCAUCUACACUGCUAUCAUGGAUUCUAUUGUUAUAGUAUCUUGGUUUGUUUGGGGCAUUUUCUCCCUUGUUUUUUCAUGUGGUCUAUGUGACUUCCUCUCUUGCAGUGCGGACCUGAGGUAUUGUCAUUUCUACCCUAUAAUCUUGUAGUAUCCCUGCAGGUUAGGAAUACCUCUUUUAAAAAUAUGGAAUGCUUCAUGAAUUUCCUAGUCAUCCUUGUGCAGGGGACAUGUUAAUCUUCUCUGUAUCAUUCCAAUUUAGUAUAUGCGCUGCUGAAGUGAGCACAUCUCUAGAACUUUUUAAUUAUCCUAUAUUAAAACUUUGUACCUAUUAAAUAGUAACCACCCAUUCCUUCUUCCCUCUAGCCUUAAUUAUCUCUGGCUUUAUGAAUCUGAUCUAGGUUCCUUAUAUAAGUGGAAUCAUACAAUAUUCAUCCUUUUUUGUCUGGCUUAUUUCACUUAGCAUAAUGUCUUCAAGCUUCAUCCAUGUGGGGUCAUACAUGUGGCAUGUAUAUCAGUUUCAUUACUUUUCAAAGCUGAGUAAUAUUCCAUUAUAUGUUUAUACUACAUUUUGUUUAUGGAUGGACCUUUGGGUUAUUUUGGCUAUUAUGAAUAAUGCUUCUGUGAACACUGGUAUAUGCCGCAGUCCGGCUGCAGCAAAAUAACGGGGGCGGGGGGGGGGGGACACAAGCAACUUGUGUAGAUUGAUACAGCAGGAGUGGGAGCCGUUUAUUGUAGGACCCGAGCGAUAUUUAUACAUUCCACACAGCUUAUCUUAAUUAGCACAAACUAGAUACAGCAGUCAACCAAUAAGGAAUCUCCACACUUAAUGGCUCGCUGGUGUUACUUCACAAACCACUCGCUCUGGCAAAAUGCCAGGCGCCAUCCAGACUUGUUUACAGACUCACAUUUUCCAGGCACCAUCCUGACUUGUUUACAGACUCUAACAGGUAUAUGAAUAAAAUAUCUAUUUGAGUUCCUUCUUUCAAGUUCUUUUUUAAUUUUUGCAGUGUUGGUGAUAAAACCCAGGGCCUUGUGUAUGCUGGACAAGCACUCUACAGUAGAGCUAUAUCCCUAGCUGGUUUUUUUUUUUUUUUUAAAUUUCAGACAGGGUCUUGCUAAAUUGCUCAGGCUGGCCUUGAGUUUGGGAUCCUUCUGCCCAAGCCUUUUCCCUCACCGCCAGCCACUGUCCCUGCUUUCCUUUUGCUUGCAUAGGCAGAGUGAAGUCACUGGAUCAUUUGCUAAUUCUGUGUUUUAUAUUUGAGGAACUAUCAAGUUGAUUUUCAUAGUGGCUGCACUAUUUUACAUUCGAUUAGCAAUGCACAUGUGUUCAAUUUCUUCAAAUAGUACAUCUUUUUAUUUCUUUUUUUGUAAUAGCCAUCAAAGUAGGUUUAAAAAAGGACCUCAUUUUGGUUUUAAAUAGUGAUAUAGGUACUAAUUGGUCUUUUGUGUAUUUUCUUGGGGAGAAAUGUUUGCUCCCGUCCUUAUCAAUUUUUUAAAAUUGGGUUGUUUGCUUUUUGUUGUUGGGUUUUAGGAGUUCUUUUAUAUUCUGAAUAUUAAUCUCCUGUCAGAGGUAGGACAAGUAAAUAUUUUCUCCCAUUCCAUGGAUUAUCUUCUCACUCUGUCAAUAGUAUCUUCUUCUUUUUUUUUAAAUUUAUUUUUUAGUUGUAGUUGGACACAAUACUUUAUUUAUUUUUAUGUGGUGCUAAGGAUCGAACCCGGGGCCUUGCACAUGCUAGGUGAACACUCUACUGCUGAGCCACAACCCCAGCCCAGACAAAGAUUUUUCAUUUUCUUUAUGGCCAUUUUGUGUUUUUUUCUUUUGUUGUUUCAUUCUAUGCUUUUGAUGUCAUACCCAAGACGAAGUUCCUGAGUCAAUGUCUUGAAGCUUUUCCUGUUUUGUUCUACGAGUUUCAUAGUUUUUACUCUUAAGUUUAGGUCUUUGAUCUCUUUUGAGAUAAUUUUUGUAUGUGGCUUUUUAUAUGUUUAGCUUCAUUCUUUUGCAGAAUAUUCAGAUUUCCCAACACUAUUGUUGAAGACUGUCCUCCAAUGACUCUCCUCCAAUGAGUCUUGGCAUGCUCAUUGAAAAUCAUUAGUUCACAUAUGUGAGGGUUUGUUUCUAGACUACUGUUGAAUUUCAAAAGUUCUUUAAGUAUAGAGGUUUUUUGUCAGUUUUGUGUUUGCAAGUGUUUUCUCCUAAUCUGUGAUUUGCUUUUUCAUUUUCUUUUUUUACCUUUAUUUUUUAUUUUUAUGCGGUGCUAAGGAUUGAACCCAGUGCCUCAUACAUGCUAGGGAACUAGCUACGGGAACUCUCUACCUCUGAAACACAACUCCAGCCUGCUUUUUCAUUUUCUUAAUAGUAUCUUCUGAUGAACAAAUGUUUUGAUUUUGAUAAAGGCCAGUUUUUUGGUUUUUACUUUGUGAUUUAUGCUUUUUGUGUCAUUGCAGAGACUAAAACUAGAUCAUAUUGUUUUGAACAACCAACAAUAAAAAAUUAAAAAAAAAAACUAGAUCAUAAAGAUUUUGUCCUGUUUUCUUCUAGAAAUACUUUUGCUUUUAUAGCUUAGGUAUAUGAUAUGUUUUCAAUUAAUUUUGAUAUAUGAUGUAAAAGAUCAAAACUAUUUUUUUUCCAUACAGAUAUCUAGUUAUUUCAGAACAGUUUGAUAAUGAACUAUGGUUUCUCUAAUUAAUUAAUUACUCUGGAACUUUUGUUGAAAAUCAAUUUAUCACCUAAGAGUGGAUCUAUUUCCGGACUCUCAAUUCCUUCAUAUUAAUCUGUAUUUAGAUAUCUGUCUAUAUGUGUGUAUUUGUAUGUAUAUGUGUAUGCAUAUAUAUGUCUGUGUGUAUGUGUGUGUGUGUGUGUGUGUGUAACUGGGAAUUGAGCCAUUAAACCGAGGGCUUCAUUCAUGCUAAGUAUACUCUUUACCUGAGCAAUGUUCCAGCCCUUUGUUUUUUUCUUGUAAUAAUACCAUACUUUUUAAAAUUUUUUUAACUUUUUUUAGUUGUAGAUGAACAGAAUGCCUUUAUUUUGUUUAUUUUUAUGUGGUGUUAAGGAUGGAACCUACUGUGUCACACAUGCUAGGCAAGUUCACCAUUGAGCCCUAGCCCCCGCCCUCAUAUCAUACUACUUGACUGCUAUAACUUUAUACAAAGUCUUUGAAAUCAGCAGUGUAAGUUCUUUGACUUUGUUGUUUUAAAAUUGUUUUGGCUAUCUUGAAUUCUUGGAAUUAUAUAUUUUAUAAUCAGCUCGUUGAGUUUUACAAUAAAAGGUCUGCAGGAGUUUUGGAGAUUUCAAUAAAUACAGAGUAAUUUGGGGAGAAUUAUGGAAAAUAUUUGGGGAUGAUAAUAUCAUCAAGUCUUCAAAUUAAUGAAUAUUAUGCAUUUAUUUCUCUUUUAAUAUUCUUUUUCAGUAUUUGUAGUUUGGGGUUAAUAGGUCAUUUAUAUAUAUUGCUAAAUUUAUUUUUGUUUUUAAAAAUGUCCUUGUGAAAUUGUUUAUUUCCAUAUUUGUUCUAUUUAUUUACAAUAUGUAUAAACACAGUAGAUUUUUAAUAUAUUAACUUGUACCGGAAGCCCUGCCAAAGUUAUGAGUCCUAUUAGCUCUUUGGUAAUUCUUUACAACUUUUACAUAUGUGAUCAUGUUGUCUGUGAAUAGAUGGCUUUAAUUUUUCGCCUCCAAAUAAGUGUAUAUUAGUUCUUUUGCUUGAUUUAUUCCACUUUAUAGAACCAGCACCAUAUUGAAUAAAAGAGCAAAAAGUGAUAUCCUUGUCUUGCCCCUAAUCUUAGGAGUAAGAUAUUCAGUUUUUUUCCAUUAAAACAUGAUGUUUCCUAUAAUUUUUUAGUUGAACACAAUACCUUUAUUUUAUUUACUUAUUUAUUUAAUGUGGUGCUGAGGAUCGAACCCAGCUCCUUGCACGUGCUAGGUGAGCACUCUACCGCUGAGCCACAGCCCCAGCCCCUCCAGAGAUUUGUAAUAAAUACCCUUUAUCACUUUGAUUAGGUUUCCUCUAUUUCUAAUUUGCUUAGUUUUUAGCACAUGAAUGUUGAAUUUUGUCAAUUCUUCAUAUAUUGAAGUGACCAUGUGUUCUUUUAUUCUAUGGUAUAUUUCUUUCAUUUUUUGAGAUGGAGUCUCACCAUAUUGCCCAGUCUAGCCUCGACCUUCUGGGCUCAAGUGAUCCUCUUGCCUCAGACUUCAAAGUAGCUGGGAGUACAGGUGUACGCCACCAUGCUGGCUCAUUUCAUUUUAUUUUAAAUAUUGAAAGCAUUUGUAUUCUUUGGAGUAACCCUACUUGGUCAUUGUGGGUUUAAAAAAUACGUAUAUAUUUAAAUAUAUGACUAGAUUCAGUUGCUAGUAUUUUGUUAAGGAUUUUUGCACCUUUGUUCAUGAAGACAAUGUUCUGUAGUUCUAUUAUGCUGUCUGUCUAGCUUUCAUAGAGCAAUACUGACCUAAUUCAAUUGGCAAAUGUUUCUUCCUUUAUAUUUUCUGUUUUUUUUUUUUUUUUAAGAGAGAGAGAAAUUUAAUAUUUAUUUUUUAUUUUUCGGCGGACACAACAUCUUUGUUUUGUAUGUGGUCCUGAGGAUCGAACCCGGGCCGCACGCAUGCCAGGCGAGCGCGCUACUGCUUGAGCCACAUCCCCAGCCCCAGUAUUUUCUGAGUUUUUAUAGGAUUGGUGUCAGUUCUUUAAAUGCUCUAACCAGCAAAAUCAACUGGGCCUGCCUGGAUUUUUACAAGUAGAAAAGUUAUAACUCACUUGAUUUCUUGAUAUAUUCCAUUUCUCUUCCUUCCCCUUUCUUUUUCAGUUAUUUUUUGACCUAAAACUUCAUGAUUUUUAAAAACUAUUUUAUUGUAUUGUUUGUUUGAAGAUGUAUUAUAUGAGACAAGUAAGAUUAAGUUUUUUUUUUAAAGUUUUUAUUUAAUACCUUGAUUUAUUUUUAUGUAGUGCUGAGGAUCAAACCCAGUGCCUCAAACGUGUUAGGCAAGUGUACUACCACUGAUCCACAACCCCAGCCCCUAUGAUUAGGUUCUAUAGAGGCAGACUUUGAACAUACUGUUCUGAGAAAGCUGGGAGUGGGAGUUUCUGUAAGAAUAGCAUAUUGUCAAAUUAUAAAAUUAUAACUCCAAAUGCUACAUAUAUUUAGAAAGUUCAUGUUUUUAGCCAAUACUAAAUUGUAUUUCCUUUCUUUCCCACAUAGGCCCAAAAGAAGUUUAAUGCAAAAGAAGCAAAACAAAACGAAUUAGAAUAUUGCAGACUUACUGAAACUCUUGCAGCUGCCAAGGAGAAAGAAUUUCAGGAUUAUGCCAGAGAAGUAAUUAAACAUGAAUCUGAAUCAACAAAUAAAUUUAUUUAUCCUCUUGUAAAAUCUGCACAGGAAAGACCUGGAGGUGGCCACGGACCAGCUUUUAUGGGGAGAGGUGGAUUAAGACCAAGCUAUCAGGCAAAUGAUAUUACUGGAGUCCAGCUUCCUUUUUAUAAUUCUCAGGGAUCAAAAUAUAAUAAUUUUCAGAAGUCUAAGGGAAGAUUAGGUUUUACAUGGUAGAAAAAAUAAUUUUUAAGAUUGAGAAGACUGAAGUGGUAGCAAAUGAGCUACAAAUGUAAAUGGACUAUAUUCUUAUUAUUUAAUAAAUCUGUCAUUCAUCUCAAUACAAUUAUACCUGAUUUGAUUCUUCACAAAAUAUUUCUUUUCUUUUUUGGUAUUGGGGACUGAACCUGGCACAAUAUUUCCUUUGAGUAUAUAUAACCCUAAAGGUAACUGAUUGCAAUUCCUUUUUUAAUUAUUAAAUACACAAAAUUUAUUUAAAAUGUGUAUUCAAUAGCAUUAAGUAUAUUCGCAAUAUUGUGCAACCUGACUAUUCAUUGCUCCAAAUGGAAACUCUGCA
rnacentral:lncRNA from 1 species